AUUUUCACCUUUAUUGGUCAUCGAUUUACAAAUUAUUUGAAUUUUUAUGUUUUGUUUUGUUUUGAUUUUUUUUGAAUUUUACUUUUGCAAAUAAAUAAAACGAAAAAAAAACUGAAAUCAUAUCAAUGUCAAUUGACUAAUCGUUGAAUAAUAGCCAAAAACCUACACGUGGGAUAAUUGAUGUCACCUUGAAUGAAUGAAUGAAUGAAUGAAUGAUGAAAAUCGUUUUUUUUCAGACCUACAAACAUCUGUAUCUGUUUGUUUUUUUUCUUCAACAAUGAUGACCAAUGAGAAAUAAUGGUACCAGUCAUCAAAUCAUCGAUUCAGAAAUCAUAUAUUGAAGUUUUUUUUUCUUGAAACUUUCCAUUGAUCUCAUCACUAUCACCAAGGCAAAUCAAAUGUGAAUAUAUACAACUGCCGAUAAGACAUAAAAUUAAAAAAAAAUUCCAGAAGCAAAGAAUAUAUAUGAAAGAACUGUCUGAUUUUUAAUGGGUGACAAAAAUAGAAUUUUGCAGGUCAUUCAUUCAGCCAUUGUGUGUAAUCAAUCAAUGACAUCAAACAUUCCAUAUACGAUGUGUGUGUAUGUGUCUGUUUUUAUUUAUCGAAAUUUUCAUCAAACAGCAAAGAAAAGCCACGUGCCGUGAAAACCUUGAAAGAAACACGAAAUUCAUCAAAAAAAAUGAUCAUUUUGAUUGAAUAAAGAAACAAACCUAAACCACGGGUUUAUUUGAUGUUUUCACAGUUUGCAUAAAUAAUUAGUGCCAUUAGUCGGGUGAAAAUCGCAAUAUGAUGAACAUGGCCAAACAACAUGUGAUGUGAUCAUCAUCAACAUAAUCAAUAUUUGUGUGCGUGUGAAACGACGACGAUUUUUUUUUCAAAUUUCAAGAACAAUGCAUUUAUAUUAAAUUAUAAAUGCAUAUUUAUAUUGAUUGAUUGAUGAAUGAUUGAAUGAAUGAAUGAAAAAACAUUGUUUGCCCGUGGCAGAACCUAACGAUUUAUGAAUGCAGAAACAUAUCAUUAGAAGAACAAAUCAAUCGAAGGAUACAUUAUCCUAUGCUAUCUUUGUAUCUAUAGAUUCAAGUCAUUGAACAGCGUAUCGAUUUUUUUCCUGUUCUGUUUGAAUAUGAAUGAAGAUACUUUGGAAAUUAAUUUGUCCCUUUUUUUCUCGUAGAAUGUUUUGUUCCAAUCACCUCAUAUAUGACUAACUACAAACCAGUCAUCUGACUAUUUUUUUUUUUUAUUAGUUUUUUGGCCUUUCUUUAAUUGAUUGAAUGUUAAAGAUUGUUGAUCCAUGAAAUAAUAAUGAUGAUGAUGAUGAUGAUGAUGAGACAGCACAUUCACCAAACGUUUUCAAGUUCAUAGCCAUCUUCAUUUUUUUUUUAAACUGAAAAAAUUUCAAUGUUUUUCCUCAUGGCUAUUUUGAUGAUGAUGAUGAUGAUGAUGAUACAAACAUUCUGACAUUGUUUCCAAUCCAGAAUGAAUUAAUUUAUUCAACCAAUUCGGAUCAAUGUCUUGGAAAAUUUUUUUUUUCAGGAUCCUUGUGAUCCAGAUAUUCAAGUCAUUCAUUCGUUUGCAUAUUUGAUGAUAAGGACGAGGAUCCACCUGAAAAAAGUGUAAAAUCCUGUGAAUAUGCACUUAUUCAAUACAAAUUAAUAAACAAAAACGACAUCAUCAUAACCUUCUUCAUAGCAUAUUUAGUUUGUUUUUUUUGUGAUGAAAAUUUUUGGGCGAUCGAUAUAAAUAUGGCUUGCAUCGAAUUUGAAAAAAUCAUCAAUCAGAUUAAAACGAAAAAAAACCAUUGAUAAUCAUUUUUGCUUCAAAUUUCAUUUUUUUCUGUCGUAAGAAAAAAAAACUUUAAACUUUUUAUUUCCAAAAUGCGAAUCUUUUUCUUAUUGUUUGCUUUAAUUGUUGCCGUUUCAACCGUAAGCGGUAUUCGAUUGUAUCGAAGAGGUGGUUAUGGUGGUGGUGGUUACAUUCGUGCCUAUCGUCCAUAUCGAUCUUAUGGUGGUGGCUAUUCUCGUGGUUAUGGAAAAAGAUAUUAUGGUUAAAACUAAUCCAUAAUCGAUGAUUAUUAUCAAUCUGCAAGAAAAUUCAGCCGAAAUCUAUCCUCAUCCAUCAGUUAUCCUAUAAACAACCUGAAACCAUUUAUUUUGUGUUCUAUUUUUUUCAAAUCUGCAAUAAUGAUAAAAAUAAAACCUCA